CCUCCCUGUCUGCAGUUCAUAACAGAGAGUAAAGACACUUGCUUCUGCCUGGGAUCUUAGGUUUGCUGGGAAGAGCAAGAUUUUUACGUUACAACUGCAACAGCCAAAGCACAUAUCACCAUGGCAGUCGAAGUGUUCCAGAAGACGACAUUCUCUUCUGUGUAUCAAAAAUAUAUGAUUCCUGUCUCCAAUGAAAUCUGUAAUAUGAUUUUAUCCUACAUGAAAG